rnacentral:rRNA from 1 species
ACUCCUACGGGAGGCAGCAGUGGGGAAUAUUGCACAAUGGGGGAAACCCUGAUGCAGCCAUGCCGCGUGUGUGAAGAAGGCCUUCGGGUUGUAAAGCACUUUCAGUAGGGAGGAAGGUAGUGUAGUUAACACCUGCAUUAUUUGACGUUACCUACAGAAGAAGCACCGGCUAACUCCGUGCCAGCAGCCGCGGUAAUACGGAGGGUGCGAGCGUUAAUCGGAAUUACUGGGCGUAAAGCGCAUGCAGGCGGCCUGUUAAGUCAGAUGUGAAAGCCCGGGGCUUAACCUCGGAAUUGCAUUUGAAACUGGCAGGCUAGAGUCUUGUAGAGGGGUAGAAUUUCAGGUGUAGCGGUGAAAUGCGUAGAGAUCGUGAAGGAAUACCAGUGGCGAACGGCGGCCCCCUGGACAAAGACUGACGCUCAGAUGCGAAAGCGUGGGAGCAAACAGGAUUAGAUACCCCGUGGUAGACUGUCA